rnacentral:rRNA from 1 species
UACGUAGGUGGCAAGCGUUGUCCGGAUUUACUGGGCGUAAAGGGAGCGUAGGCGGACUUUUAAGUGAGAUGUGAAAUACUCAGGCUCAACCUGGGGGCUGCAUUUCAAACUGGAAGUCUAGAGUGCAGGAGAGGAGAGUGGAAUUCCUAGUGUAGCGGUGAAAUGCGUAGAGAUUAGGAAGAACACCAGUGGCGAAGGCGACUCCCUGGACUGUAACUGACGCUGAGGCGCGAAAGCGUGGGGAGCAAACGGG